GUGAAUCAUCGAAUUUUUGAACGCAAAUUGCGCCUUCUUUCGGGAGGCAUGUCUGUUUGAGGGCACCAUUUAACAAAUAAUGUGCGGGUCGCUAUGCGGCGUGCACACGUUGAUGAGCUUUUCCGAAAAACCAGGUUUUUUGGGGGGGGAAAAAGGAAAAGGGGGGGUUUUUUCUUUGGUUCUUC
rnacentral:misc_RNA from 1 species